GCUGGUCUGGGGAGGGAGCACGAAAGGAUGAAUGAAAAGUCCGGAGCCGGAGCGCGCCCGGGCCAGAGCAGCGGCAGAGGCUGGGGAGGGAGCUAGGGAGGUGAGCUCUGCCCUGCUCGCCUUGGCUCGGCGGAGGCUGAGAUCCCGGCGGGCGCCUCCACCCCGGCGCCCGCUGAGCCCUGGCACCUCGAACCCAGGGCCAUGGCGUUCCGUGGGCGGGAACGUGCCGGGAGGACCGCGAGGGAGAGCACUGAUGGGCACACUGGGCUCGAUUUUUCACCUGGGGUGAAUGGGUGUUCCACCACUCUCCUGCCCUCUUUCCGCCACAAGAGCACCAGAACCCUAUCCAGCACCACGGACAGCUCCCAGGCGACGAAUGAGGUGGCUGUGCUGACCCCCUUUGCAGGGGUUAGGAGGGGCUCCUGUCUGCACGGUUAUAUAUCAAAGACUAGAAUUUUAAUCUUUGGGAGUUGUUUGCAGGCAAUUGAUAAGUCUCAGGGAGAGGAGGAGGCUGAUGGCAGUUGUCAUUCCAUCUCCAGGAAAUUGGGUUUGUCUACUUUGGAGAGUCUGAAUGAGAGGGCUCCAGCAGCAGGAAGGUUGAGGGUUAAAUUUCUGGAAGAAUUUAAGCUAAGGUCAUAUAGGAUUCAGGCUCCCCUGGUGGCUCAGAGGUAAAUAACCCACCUGCCAAUCCAGGAGACACUGGAGACCCUGGUUGGAUCCCUGGGUCAGGAAGAUCCUCUGGAGGAGGAAAUGGCAAUGCACCCCAGUAUUCUUGCCUGGGAAAUCCCAUGGACAGAGGAGCCUGGUGAGCUAUAGUCCUUGGGGUUGCAAAAGAGUCAGAUACAACUGAGCAAUGAAACAAUAACAACACGUAAGAAACAGAGUGUGUGGAUCAGGUAGAGCCUUAGAUGGCAUCAAUUCUAUAUCCCUCAUUUUACAGAUUCCCAAGAGAGUGGAAGAGAUAUGACCAAGGUUACUCAGCUGGUUAGUGGAAAGGCCAAAAUCCUGGUUUUGGAUUUGGCUUUGGAAAGGCCAGGCUCCUGGUUUCCAUCCUGGCCCUGUUUAUUGUAUCUGAUACCUCUUUAAGGACUCUCCCUGC
rnacentral:lncRNA from 1 species